rnacentral:misc_RNA from 1 species
UUCAAAUCUGAUGCAACCCAAAAUUUCUGGAUAUGAAUCAAAUUCUAUUUAAAGUUGAUCAAAAAUCUACAUAGAACUACAAGUUUACUGCGAAUUGAAUAUGGCUACUAAAUCAACAGACUAUAGCGAAUAUUUUGAUAUGAUAGACUACUGUAAAGAUCACAACAAAAACAUGGGAACCCAGGACAGAUUUUUGGCUCCAAAAUCUUGGGAAUGGACUUCAAAUAUUGAAAUAUUUCAUAAUGGGCCAAACACUACACAAACAAUGUACCAAAUGCUUUGUCAUCAUGACACUCUUAAAAAUGCUAAAUUGGAAUUCAUAGAGUAAAAGUUUACAUCCAUGUGUACCAAUAUGGAAGGUCAUCAACUAGAAAGACCUAAAAGCAGUUCCAGAUGGUUGAAAACAUCAACUCCAAAUCUACAUGUAUGUGACACUGGACAUGUUCAUCCUAAAAAUAUCCUACGACUCAAUAGUACUGGAGAAAUUUCAUCAGAUGACGACCUAAACCUUAAACAAAACAAAUGUUAUUGGGAUAAGAUGAAAGAAAAAGCCACUAAUCUUACAAAUAUUGGGAAAUUGGACAUUCAGAAUCUCAUUUUGGGAUCAACACCAAUUUCAAAACAAUUUUGUGCAAAAGACCAGGAAGUUAGUAAAAGUGUAAUGGAUAAAAUAAGACAAUACCAAAAUGAGUGUGUUUGUGAUUCAGAUGUGAGCCCCAAAGUUACAUCAUACAGAGAUGCAUUACAUUUUGGAAAUAAGCGAAGUUUCUUACAAGGUUUAAUGAUGAACCGUAGUAAAAUUCUUCAUAAUUUGGACUGUCUUCAAGGCCGCCAAAAUACCAUUAAUAAAUACCCAACAUACAGUGAAGCAUUAAGUGGUAAACAUAAACAAGAAGGACAAGAGCCUAUUAAAUCAACUGUUACAUUGAAUGAGGAGGAAGCAAAAGCUCCUUCAGGAUUGGAGAACAGUGCAGUAUCUAAGAAUGACUUGCAAUCUGUGCCUCGAUAUAUACCUCCUUACAAGCGUAAAAAUGUAGGAGGUUCUGGUAAAGAGAAUGAUAAUUCUGUGCCUAAUGAAAAAUAUAUAUCACCUAAGCCAAUGCCUCCUAGGAAUUAUACCCCAAGACAACAUCGACCCCCAAUAUCUCAGACUGAGACCCCCUCUAAAAGCAAUACACCAAGACAGUACGCUAAAGAGAAGCAUUAUUCAAAAAGAGCAGAUUUUUGUGAAAGGAAUUAUGAAGAAAAUUGGCGUCAACCUCGACCUGUGAGACCUCCUUCUCAAAACAGAGAUGGAAAUUAUGUUGAACAUCAGAAUUCAAAAACUCCAAAUUCCAACAUGGCUGAUGUAAGAUUUAAUUAUCAGAUCAGGAUUGGAACAAGUCCAAAAUGUGAUAAAAGUGUCCUGGCACAUUGCCAUUCACCUAGAACUGUUUCAAGUGAUAAUGUUGGAGAUACAGAGAUAAGUCAAGGUACCCCGAUGGCUGAUGCUUUGGCAUUUAGCCCCUGUAAGACUGACUUCACUGACAUUUAUGUAUCUUUACAUAAAUCUGGUCUUGUUGAACCAACAUGUUCAUCCAAAAGUGAUACUGUUAAACCUCAACAUGAAAAUAUACAUGAGUGCAAUACAAAAGAAGACAAUAUGGAGCAUGAAAAAAGCCCAUUUACUGAUAGUGACAGCCAUGGUGCUGCUAAAUUUGCUCAAGAUGAUGACAUUCCUGCUGUUUCUAAGUCACUGAGUUGUAGUUUGAACAUAGCUGGACAUAUAUCCACCGAGGGGUCUGAUGAUAAGAAGCAUUUUAAAAUUAGUGCAACAGUGACCCCUGUUAAGUCUAGUGUAACCCAAACCUCCCCCACUACCCAAAGUCUUACAUCCCAAAGUGCUUUCUCCAAGAAGAAAAAGUCCAGACCAUCUUUGAAGAAGCGUCAGCGCAGAAAGCGACAACAGGGUCUUGUGACCGAGCCUCUAAAAUCAGAAGAUGAACACAUUGAACCUGUUGAUCUUAAAUCAAAUGAAACCCCAUUUUCUUCUCCACAACCAAUUCCCCUAUCACCCAAACAUUAUAAAACUAUCCAGGCAUUAAUUGUUGAGAGUCCAUGCAAAGAAUCCAUACAAGAUGAAAAUGAAGAUGAUGAAAUGUACCAAUCAUCAAAGACUAUGAACUCUGUUGCCUUUAUCAUUGGAGCCAUGAGUGAUUCAAGCCAAUCAGAGACUGACUCUGAAAAUGAGGAUUCUGAUUGGUCAGACUAUGAUCCAAUCAGCAAUGAUGAUCUCCUUCAAGAGUUUUCUAUUCAAGAAGACCCCUUUGGUUUUCUUAAUGUUCAGGUGACAUGUGCUAAAUCCUGUAUCCCUGAAUAUGCCUCGGAGCCUGUACUCUCCCCCAGACAAAAGCUGGACUUGGUCAAUUUACAGUGGGAUGCGCAACACUCCAACUUACCUGAUGUAACACAAUCGUCCAAAAAACUAAGAAAAAAGGUUUCUUUUGCUGAUGGAAAGAAAAUUGCGACAACUUACCCAAUGAUAGCCUGGGAUUAUGCUUAUAGGGCAGCUCGCAAAGCACCAUGGGAAAUGUAUGCCAGAGACAGAUGUCGAUUCAAGGAUCGUGUUCGCAACAUAGAAAGAUCUAUUGGUCACUGUGUUAAUAGAGAACACCGAGAUAAAAUGUACGCAAGGCUUCAUGCUGACUAAUUGGAUUGUGUUUUAAUGGAUAAACAUAUACACUGUGAUAGAAGACAUGUUGCUUCCUGAUGUCAUAUCAUGUACAAUAUGUGGAUAAGUGGAAGGACAGACAAAUGCUCUUGACUUAAAAUGUUAAAACUCUUAACUAAGUUAAAGCAGCGUGUAUCUGGCAUACACUCUUUAGUUUAGAUUUUAUAGAAUACAGGACUUGAUUGGUUGAGCCAUGUAUAUAGCCACAGGUAUAAAAGUGAAUGUCAAAAUUUGUGUUUUUUAUUAACAAAAGGAGACGGAGAGUAACCUUUCCCUAAUUCAAGGGAUUAAAAUAUUACAGAGAAUUAAAUCUUUCCAUAAAAACAUUACCUUGUCCAAUCCUCAAUACCUACUAUUUGAUAGAUCUUUUUUUUAGAUCUAUCUCAAGGAGUAAAACUUAUACAUGUUACUGUUAAUCUUAGGAUUUCUGUUUUUUUCUUGUGGUGCCUUUUGUUGAAAGUUGCAUAACAUGUACUUGAGUCAUGAGAACAUGUAGAUGAUUUUGAAAAAAAAAUUAGUCAAUUUGAAGCAAGUUGAAAAAAUACCUUUUUGACCUUUUUUGACCUUGAGAAGGUCAUUGUGUAGAUGAUUUUGAAAAAAUUUUUAGUCAAUUUGAAGCAAGAUGAAAAAAUAAGAAGGUUAAAGGUCAUUUUCUGAGAACAUGUAGAUGAUUUUGAAAAAAAAUUUAGUCAAUGUGAAGCAAGUUGAAAAAAAUUGUUUCACUUUCAAAAAGCAAGUUUAAUCAACAAGAGUUGGGGGGGUGGGGCAGUUAAAUUUUCAUAUUUUGUGCAGAAUUAAGUGUGAAAGUUUCGAGAUGACCCCUUAUACACAUACGGUACUUCCCGUUUUAAAAUAUUUAAACAAAGAAUAUCAUUUGCUUUUUAUUAUGAAUUUAUAUUUAUGACACAUUUUUUAUGACAAAGUUGGUUCAUCAUUCAUGAUGGCCUUUUGUGAAGAAAAUACAAAUAACUUUUGAUACUAGGUACCUUUUCUCUCCAUGAAACCAUUUUACUGUAAGAAAUUAUUAACACUGACAAGCCAAAAUAUUGAUUUGUUUUUAUUAUAAUUAGCCAGAUGUUCAGUAUUUACUUGGUCUUUAAGCAAAACCAUUGUAAAAAAUGGCCAAAUGAGGGUGAUACAUGUAGCUACUAUUUCCAGUUUUUCAGUGACUAAAAGCAGUUUAUAUAACUGUUUUCUUUAUUUUCUUGUACAUGUACAUGAUGUGACAUGAACUAAUUUUUCUUCAAGCACAAACAUUUUAUUACAGACAAAAUAUUCUCACUUUACACAUUGACAGGUUGUACUGGAGUACUAUGAGGCAUGUUACUGGGUCAUUAUCCUAUAGGCUAUCUGAUAUUCGAACAUGACUGUAUUCAC